AGAGAUCGCGGAGAGACGCAGAACGCAGCCCGCUCCUCCAGGGCCCUCCAGGCCCUCCGGCCCCGGGCCGGCGGGUGAACUGGGGGGCCCCGGGACAGGCCGAGCCCUCUGCCCUGCAGAUAACGGAGGCCUCUGCUGUGGCUGCCCACUGGCUGUGCCCGCCCACUGGCUGUGCCCAGACCUUGAAGCCGCAGCGAACCUCUCUUUCCCACCCCACCUCGGUGACUAAUGGCGGCCGUGGCGUCUCCCAGCCCGGACCCCGCCGGCACCCGGGUCUCCCGACCCAAGCCUCGACGAAACCCCCGCAGAGCCGCCGGGACGCAGCGCCUUUGGGCGGCGCUGGGCGUGGUGGGCCGGGAAGUAUGGCGGCAGCUCGAACGCCGCGCGGCGGAGGCCAUUAAGGCGUGGACGGCCCGGGAAGGCGGCCUAGGGACGCAAGCAGGCUCGGCCGCCUCUUUAGGCCACGGAGCCGCGCAGAUCCGGUUCCCGGGUGACCACUCUGUCGCCAUUGGGCGAGACCUACCUAGUCCUGACGACAACGGACAAAGGCCUUAAGGGGCCUGGAAGGUGAGCGAAGUCCCGAACGACGACGGGUGGAACGGUUAGCGGCCAUCGGGCGGUUGGUCUUCAUUCUACCAGACUUUGCUGUCGGAAGAGAGAAAUGGUAGAAUGACAGGCCACGUUUGGCCCGUUGGAAAUGCCCACCACCCUCUGGGAAGAUUUACUGGCCGUUUAUGGAAGGCCUGUGUAUAUAAUAUGAAAAAGCUGCUCUCAACUCCACCCCAACCUUUUAAUAGAAAACAUUUGUCACAUCUAGCCCUUCUAGAUGGAAAGAGGUUGCCGACGUAUGAUAAAAUAGAGUUAGAAAGUUACACAUCUUGUAAAUUCUCAUUUGUUUAAAAGAAAUCAUAGAAAAUACAUGUCUUCUGGAGAUGACUUUUGGAAAUGGAGUUGUUAAGACGGCCUCUGGAAGCGAUACGUCCACGUUUGUUAAGUGGGUUAGAUGACAUGGAGCUGGAAGACCUGAGAAGGAAGAGAAGAAGGUUCUAUGCUAGACUGGUCAUAUUUAGAAGACAUUUUCAUAUUCUAUCCAUUGUUUUGUGUGCAUUUUAUUCCUCACUACUGUGUAUAUAGUUGACAAUGCUAAGCUUUUUUGAAAUGUCUCUUCUUUUUAGAUGUUCUGAAGUGCCUGAUAUGUUAAAAUUAGAGGUAGCAAAAUCACAUUUUGUAAAUACCUUUUUGUUACAAUUCAUAGGAAAUAUUUUUGGGGGGGAAUGGCCAAAUCACCUGUUGAGUAAUACUCAUUGUGUUUGUGCAGUGGUUCAGGGGAGGAGAGAGGAGGGGGAGGUGCAGAGAGCUCUAUGCCAUCCUGUUUACAGCGAGGCAAGAUGAAUCAUUAUGUCUGUGCAUUUUGUUUUACUUAUCUGUGUAUAUAGUGUACAUAAAGGACAGACGAGUCCUAAUUGACAACAUCUAGUCUUUCUGGAUGUUAAAGAGGUUGCCAGUGUAUGACAAAGGAGUAAAAUUAGCAUAUUUUGUACACUUUGUGUUGAAAUUCGUAGGAAAACUUGUCUUCUGUAAAGACUUUUGCAUAGGAAUUUGUUUGACCAUCUCUAAGCAUUACACGUGCCUGUACUUGUCCACUGGAUUGAAGGCAGAGAAGGAAGGGAGGAGGGAAUGAUUCAAGGCCAAAAUGGCCACAUUUAGAAGAUACCUCAGAUGAUAACCAUUGUUAUGUGUGUGCAAUUUUAUUUAACAGUGCUGUGUAUGUGGUGGACAAGUUAUAUGAAAUAUCUAGUCUUUCUAGAUAUUUGGAAGUGCUUGAUGUAUUUAAAAGUGGUAGUAGAAUAACACUUUGUAAAUAGCUUUUAAAAACUGAUGGGAAAUGCUGUUUGGAAGUGGAAUUGUUGAACCACCUGGGAGGUGGGAGGGAAGAAAUUGCAAAUGGUGUUUUGCCAUUGUUUAUUAGAAAAUUUCAGCUUAAUCCAUUGUGUAUAUGUUACAUGCAUUUCAUUUAACUUUGCUAUACUGUAUAUAUUGUAUAUAUAACGGACAAAUUAGUCCCGAUUUUAUAAUAUCUAGUCUCUAGAUAUUAAAGAGGUUGCCAAUGUAUGACAGAAGUAGAGUUAGUAAACUAACACAUUUUGUACACUUUGUUAAAAUUUGUAGAAAGGCUGUCUUCUGAAAAGGACUUUUGGAAGUGAGAUAACAUCAGCUCUAAGUGACACGUGCCUAUAUCCAUCAGGUUGGUGGUGGAGAGGAGUUGGAAGGAAUGAAGGGUUCUAGACCAGAAUGUUCGUAUUUAGAAGACACUAUCAGAUAUAACCAUUGUUACAUGUGUGUAGUUUAUUCAACCCUACUGUGUAUAUAGCGGACAAACUUAAGUCCUUAUUUGAAACAUCUAGUCUUUCUAGAUGUUUAGAAGUGCACAAAGUAUGUUAAAAGUAGAGGUAGUAAAUAACACAUUUUGUAGCUAUCCUUUUGAUAUGAAAUAUUGUCUUGGAAAUUGAUCAAUUCUCUGAGCAGUACCCAUUUUGAUAUUUGUGCUGGUUCAGGGGGAAGGAGGAGCACAAAGUGCAAAGGGCUUUCUACCAGUGUCCAGUGUGUUUAUGAGGAGGCACAUUGACCAUUGUCCCUUAUGUCUGCAUUUUCAUUUACUGUGCUGUGUAUAUAGUGUAUAUAAGCGGACAUAGGAGUCCUAAUUUACGUCUAGUCGAUGUUAAAAAGGUUGCCAGUAUAUGACAAAAGUAGAAUUAGUAAACUACUACAUUGAGUACACUUUGUGUUAAAAUUCAUAGGGAAGACUUCUUAAAAACAAGUGAAAUUGUUAAAACCCCCCCUAAGCAUUACAGAUGGCUUAUAGCUGUCCACGGGGUUGGUAGAGGUGGGAAAGGGAAGGGUUCUAGGCCAGAAUGUUCCUAUUUAGAAGACACUCAAAUUACAGUCUGUGUUAUGUAUGUAUACCAUUUAUUCAAUGCUACUGUGUAUAUAAUGGAAAACUUAAGUCCAGUUUGAAACAUCUAGUCUUUCUAGGUGUUUAAAAGUGUACAACGGCCUGUCGCAGUGGCGCAUGCCUGUAAUCCCAGCACUUUGGGAGGCCGAGGCAGGCGGAUCACGAGGUCA
rnacentral:lncRNA from 1 species